UACGUAGGGCGCAAGCGUUAUCCGGAAUUAUUGGGCGUAAAGAGCUCGUAGGCGGUUUGUUAAGUCUGUUGUGAAAGCCCUGGGCUCAACCUGGGAAUGGCAAUGGAAACUGGCGAGCUAGAGUCAGGUAGAGGGUGGUGGAAUUCCCGGUGUAGCGGUGAAAUGCGUAGAGAUCGGGAGGAACACCUGAGGCGAAGGCGGGCUACUGGGCCGAUACUGACGCUGAUGCGCGAAAGCCAGGGGAGCGAACGGG
rnacentral:rRNA from 1 species